CCCACAACGCGCUCUGCCACGCUCUGUUCUGCCCUGUUCUGUUCUGUUCUGUUCUCGACGACGCCCCUUCCUCUCUCUUUCUCUCUCCUACUCGAAAUGCUGGGAAUUCGCUUUUAUCAAGAGAGGCGACGCUGCUGUUGUCUCGACCCGUGUCGGCUCCUAGCCGGAAACAUUCUCGUCUUCGACAAAAGCGACAGCUUUGGAGAUCCACCCUCAGAGAUCUCGCCUCCGUAAAAAGGUUAAAAAGAGAACACGCGCUCCCUCCAUUCCCUCCCUCUCUAGACUCUAUAUCUCGAGCACAUGCACAUGCACACGCACCAGGCGCGCAGCAGCAGCGAGACACCCUUUCUUCCUCCA
rnacentral:lncRNA from 1 species